rnacentral:rRNA from 1 species
AACGAACGCUGGCGGCAUGCCUAACACAUGCAAGUCGCACGAGAAAGUCCUUCGGGAUGAGUAGAGUGGCGCACGGGUGAGUAACACAUGGGAACGUGCCUCUGAAUGGGGGAUAACUACGGGAAACUGUAGCUAAUACCGCAUAGUAACGAGAGUUUAAAGCUGGCCUCUAUUUAUAAGCUAGUGUUCAGAGAUCGGCCCAUGUCCCAUUAGCUAGUUGGCGGGGUAAUAGCCCACCAAGGCGACGAUGGGUAGCUGGUCUGAGAGGACGAUCAGCCACACUGGAACUGAGACACGGUCCAGACUCCUACGGGAGGCAGCAGUGGGGAAUUUUGCACAAUGGGGGAAACCCUGAUGCAGCAAUGCCGCGUGAGUGAAGAAGGCCUUUGGGUUGUAAAGCUCUUUCGGCUGAGAAGAAGGGUCACUUGGCUAAUAUCCGAGUGAUUUGACGGUAUCAGAAGAAGAAGCACCUGCUAACUUCGUGCCAGCAGCAGCGGUAAUACGAAGGGUGCAAGCGUUGUUCGGAAUUACUGGGCGUAAAGGGCGCGUAGGCGGGUUGGUAAGUCGAAUGUGAAAUCCCCGGGCUUAACCUGGGACGUGCAUUCGAUACUGCUAAUCUUGAAUGCUUGAGAGGGUGGUGGAAUUCCUAGUGUAGAAGUGAAAUUCGUAGAUAUUAGGAGGAACACCGGANGCGAAGGCGGCCACCUGGCAAGACAUUGACGCUNANGCGCGAAAGUGCGGGGAGCAAACAGGANUAGAUACCCUGGUAGUCCGCACCAUAAACGAUGGAUACUAGAUGUUUGGAGAAUUAACCCUCUGAGUAUCAAAGUUCACACAUUAAGUAUCCCGCCUGGGGAGUACGGCCGCAAGGCUGAAACUCAANNNAAUUGANGGGGGCC